UACGGAGGGAGCUAGCGUUGUUCGGAAUUACUGGGCGUAAAGCGCGCGUAGGCGGCUUUGUAAGUUAGAGGUGAAAGCCCGGGGCUCAACCCCGGAAUUGCCUUUAAGACUGCAUCGCUUGAAUCCGGGAGAGGUGAGUGGAAUUCCGAGUGUAGAGGUGAAAUUCGUAGAUAUUCGGAAGAACGCCAGUGGCGAAGGCGGCUCACUGGACCGGCAUUGACGCUGAGGUGCGAAAGCGUGGGGAGCAAACAGG
rnacentral:rRNA from 1 species